UACAGAGGUGGCAAGCGUUGUUCGGAAUUACUGGGCGUAAAGGGCGCGUAGGCGGCCCUCUAAGUCAGACGUGAAAUCCCCCGGCUUAACCUGGGAACUGCGUCUGAUACUGGAGGGCUUGAGUAUGGGAGAGGGAUGUAGAAUUCCAGGUGUAGCGGUGAAAUGCGUAGAUAUCUGGAGGAAUACCGGUGGCGAAGGCGGCAGCCUGGACCAUUACUGACGCUGAGGCGCGAAAGCUAGGGGAGCAAACGGG
rnacentral:rRNA from 1 species